CACUGAACCUUAUCAUUUAGAGGAAGGAGAAGUCGUAACAAGGUUUCCGUAGGUGAACCUGCGGAAGGAUCAUUGUCGAAACCUGCCUAGCAGAACGACCCGAGAACUAGUUUCAAAGCGGGGGAUGAGGGGUCUUGCGGCUCCUUGUCCCUUUAUCUCGGGAGGGUUGGGUUGCGUCCGCGCAACCGACCCUUCCGGGCGUACAAACGAACACCGGCGCGAAUUGCGCCAAGGAACUUGAAUGAGAGAGCGCGUCCCUGUUGCCCCGGAAACGGUGUGCGCGGGCGGCGUCGUCAUCUUCAAUUAUGUCAAAACGACUCUCGGCAACGGAUAUCUCGGCUCUCGCAUCGAUGAAGAACGUAGCGAAAUGCGAUACUUGGUGUGAAUUGCAGAAUCCCGUGAACCAUCGAGUCUUUGAACGCAAGUUGCGCCCGAAGCCACUAGGCCGAGGGCACGCCUGCCUGGGCGUCACACGCCGUUGCCCCCCCACUACUCCCUCGGGAUUGCGGGGGGGCGGAUGAUGGCCUCCCGUACGCUCCGUCGCGCGGUUGGCAUAAAUACCAAGUCCUCGGCGACGCACGCCACGACAAUCGGUGGUUGCGAAACCUCGGUUGCCUGUCGUGUGCGGUCGUCGCGCAUCGAGGGCUCGAAAAAUUGCUUGGCUCCGGCUCAGCUUUCAACGCGACCCCAGGUCAGGCGGGGUUACCCGCUGAAUUUAAGCAUAUCAAUAAGCGGA
rnacentral:misc_RNA from 1 species